rnacentral:rRNA from 1 species
GUGCCAGCAGCCGCGGUAAUACAUAGGGGGCGAGCGUUAUCCGGAUUUAUUGGGCGUAAAGGGUGCGUAGGCGGUAGAUUAAGUCUAAGGUUAAAGUGCAGGGCUCAACCCUGUGAUGCCUUAGAAACUGGUUUACUUGAGUUUGGUAGAGGUAAGUGGAACUCCAUGUGUAGCGGUAAAAUGCGUAAAUAUAUGGAAGAACACCAGUGGCGAAGGCGGCUUACUGGGCCACAACUGACGCUGAGGCACGAAAGCGUGGGGAGCAAACAGGAUUAGAUACCCUGGUAGUCCACGCUGUAAACGAUGAGUACUAAGUGUUGGAAAAAUCCAGUGCUGAAGUUAACGCAUUAAGUACUCCGCCUGAGUAGUACGUACGCAAGUAUGAAACUCAAAGGAAUUGACGGGACCCGCACAAGCGGUGGAGCAUGUUGUUUAAUUCGAAGAUACGCGAAGAACCUUACCAGGUCUUGACAUCCGUUGCAAAGCUAUAGAGAUAUAGUGGAGGUUAACAGCGAGACAGGUGGUGCAUGGUUGUCGUCAGCUCGUGUCGUGAGAUGUUGGGUUAAGUCCCGCAACGAGCGCAACCCUUGUUGCUAGUUACCAUCAUUUAGUUGGGGACUCUAGCGAGACUGCCGGUGAUAAACCGGAGGAAGGUGGGGAUGACGUCAAAUCAUCAUGCCCCUUAUGACCUGGGCUACAAACGUGCUACAAUGGCCUAACAAAGAGACCCGAAACCGUGAGGUGGAGGCAAACUGCAAAACAAGGUCUCAGUUCGGAUUGCACUCUGCAACUCGAGUGCAUGAAGUUGGAAUCGCUAGUAAUCGUGAAUCAGAAUGUCACGGUGAAUACGUUCUCGGGGUUUGUACACACCGCCCGU